CAAAAUAUCAUAACAAGACAAUAUUCUCAUUCACAUCACCAACGUUAUACAUGUACAGUUAUAAACAAUCAUAUUUGGGAAGGUAGAGAAGAAAUCAAUAGGUCAGAAUACCUUUCUAAAUCUAAAUUAAAUAAACAAGUUUCUUCCAACGACGCGCGCGUUUCUAUAUCCAGGAAUGAAUUCAAGUUACCAAACAAUGUUAUGAAAACAAAAGGACCAAAAGUGCAGCCAUAAGAAAGAUUAAUCAAUAAUGAUUUUAAAACAAGAUCAACUACGUCUUCAAAUGUUUGGAAAACAAAAGGACCAAACAUGCAGCCAAAAGAAAGGUUAUUCCAUAAUGAUUUUAAAACAAGAUCUACUACGUCUUCAAAUGGAUGGAAAACAAAAGGACCAAUCGUACAGCCAAAAGAAAGGUUAAUCAAUAACGAUUUUAUAACAAGAUCUACUACGUCUUCAAAUGUUUGGAAAACAAAAGGAACAAAAGUGCAGUCAAAAGAAAUGUUAAUCCAUGAUGAUUUUAAAACAAGAUCUACUACGAUUUCAAAUGAUUGGAAAACAAAAGGACCAAACAUACAGCCAUAUGACGGAAACCGUACUAACGAAUCUGCACCGAAUCUAUCUCAAACAACUGAAUAUGAAACAAAUAAUAUUGGUAUGGUAGCAGGUUCUAUUAUUGCGAUUGUUGUAACAUUUGUUAUAGCAGCAAUUGUAUUAUAUAACGCUAAAGGCCUAAGAAAAAGAAUACAUGUAUUCUCAAUUUGCAUAUCAAGUAAAGGGCAACGUCGAACUAUAAAUGAAGAAAUUCCUAAUCCAAAUGAUGUUGAACUACAACUGAUGAACGGACACAAAGAACCGAUCGGAAUUGAUACAAAGAAUGUUUCCGAUUAGCAUAUCUGGAAUUCUGUUUUAGGGCAUUGUGAAUGCAGUUCUCAAACUGCGGUCAUUGCUUGUGCGAGCUAAAGUUAUAGAUUCCGAAAGAGAAUAUGGUGAAUAUGAAGAUGAAAAUCAGAUUUUGUACAACCGCCGUACAAUUAUGAACCUGGUUGUUUGGCCAGUUUUGUUAUGAAAGGAUAAUAACUCCGAAGAUUCAAUAUUGCUGAGUUGUAUAAUUUGGAUAUUCCUGCGUCUAUCAGUUUUUAGUUUUAUAUUACUGACAAUUACAGAUUCAGAGCGUACAAAACCAGUCAAACAAGGGAUCGAUUUAAGACAAUAUCACUUGACAUUUACUAGACAAACUUACAAAUAAAGAUUAAGCUGCCCGGUGAGAAUGAAAGAGGCCCAGUCAUGCAGAAAAGAUAUAACGUUAUCAGACAAAAGAAAGAAGAAGGCUACUUAUUAGUCAUACCUUUUUAAAAAUAAAUGAUAGAUUUAAACAUUUAUCAUAUUAAAGAUCGAAAGAGAUUAUGUUACCGAAAAAAUACAUAAGCGGGCUUGUAUUUGAAGUAAACUAUUAUGAACAGUCUUCUGUGUGGCCUAUUGUGGAACGGUUAUUCUCUAAAAUUUUUUACCAUUUACACCUUUCCCAAUCGAUUGUGAAAAAAAUGUUCCCCUCACUAGUGAAAAAACUGUUCUCGGCAGCUGAUUGGUCAAUAUUUCUGCCGGGACUACUUGUUCUCCAACUGCAUGAAAUAUGUGGUGCGCCUUGUUUGGAGGGACUUCCCGGAACAGAACAUUCUGCCUUCGAACUUUUCAGAUUUAGCCUACUUUAUACUCGUAAAACUCCUUAACGUUUUGACUUUAUGUACUAACACGUUUACGGAUUGUUUGUAAAAGAAAAAUAUGUUUUAAAUAGGAAUGAAGCUUGCGUUACCGACAGUACUAAUCAAACGCAGCUAAAUAUGACAAUGUUUGCAAUACUUCUGUUUACAUAAACGCAAAUAAUUUGCAAUUGAAAGUACAUCGACGAAAGAUGAAAAAAAAACAACAAAAAACACAUCGAUAUGAAUGCAACGUAAAUGCGUUAAAGAUGAGGAUCUGAACUGCAUUAGGCAAAGACUAUCAAACUUAUUUGUAAAUAAUAUUACACAUCGUAAACUGUAAAUAAUUAUAAGAUUAAACACGAAUGUGUUAUUU